CCCGGGCUCAACCUGGGAACUGCAUUCGAAACUGGCAGGCUAGAGUCUUGUAGAGGGGGGUAGAAUUCCAGGUGUAGCGGUGAAAUGCGUAGAGAUCUGGAGGAAUACCGGUGGCGAAGGCGGCCCCCUGGACAAAGACUGACGCUCAGGUGCGAAAGCGUGGGGAGCAAACAGGAUUAGAUACCCUGGUAGUCCACGCCGUAAACGAUGUCGAUUUGGAGGUUGUGCCCUUGAGGCGUGGCUUCCGGAGCUAACGCGUUAAAUCGACCGCCUGGGGAGUACGGCCGCAAGGUUAAAACUCAAAUGAAUUGACGGGGGCCCGCACAAGCGGUGGAGCAUGUGGUUUAAUUCGAUGCAACGCGAAGAACCUUACCUG
rnacentral:rRNA from 2 species